rnacentral:rRNA from 1 species
ACGAACGCUGGCGGCGUGCUUAACCCAUGCAAGUCGAACGAAGAGCGCUGGAAGCUUGCUUCUAUCAAUCUUAGUGGCGAACGGGUGAGUAACGCGUAAUCAACCUGCCCUUCAGAGGGGGACAACAGUUGGAAACGACUGCUAAUACCGCAUACGAUCUAACCUCGGCAUCGAGGAUGGAUGAAAGGUGGCCUCUAUUUAUAAGCUAUCACUGAAGGAGGGGAUUGCGUCUGAUUAGCUAGUUGGAGGGGUAACGGCCCACCAAGGCGAUGAUCAGUAGCCGGUCUGAGAGGAUGAACGGCCACAUUGGGACUGAGACACGGCCCAGACUCCUACGGGAGGCAGCAGUGGGGAAUCUUCCGCAAUGGACGAAAGUCUGACGGAGCAACGCCGCGUGAGUGAUGACGGCCUUCGGGUUGUAAAGCUCUGUUAAUCGGGACGAAAGGCCUUCUUGCGAAUAGUUAGAAGGAUUGACGGUACCGGAAUAGAAAGCCACGGCUAACUACGUG